UUGUCCCUUGCCCUCGCGCGCCCCGUGCUCUUCGUCGUCUUCGCCAGCCCAGGUGGCAGGAAGCUACCCAUAGCCAGCCUCGUCUUCUCGGCCAAAUCCUUCUUCGGUGCACCGCUGGCCGCCACCUCGGCCUCCGUCGCUUUGUCGCUCCUGUGCCAGUGGCUGCCUCCAGCUCGCUCGAGGUCGUCGCUACGGGGAAGAAGGGGCCUUUCCGACCAAAUCCUUCUUUGGCGCGCCACUGGCCGCCACCGCGGCCUCCGUCGCGUUGCCACUCCCGCGACAACCGGCCGCCUCCAACUCGCUUGA
rnacentral:misc_RNA from 1 species